GCCAGACUCCUACGGGAGGCAGCAGUGGGGGAUAUUGCACAAUGGGGGGAACCCUGAUGCAGCGACGCCGCGUGGGUGAAGGAGCGUUUCGGCGCGUAAAGCCCUAUCGGCAGGGAAGAAGGAGGACGGUACCUGACUAAGAAGCCCCGGCUAACUACGUGCCAGCAGCCGCGGUAAUACGUAGGGGGUAAGCGUUAUCCGGAUUUACUGGGUGUAAAGGGGGCGCAGACGGCAGCGCAAGCCAGGAGUGAAAGCCCGGGGCCCAACCCCGGGACUGCUCUUGGAACUGCGCGGCUGGAGUGCAGGAGGGGCAGGCGGAAUUCCUGGUGUAGCGGUGAAAUGCGUAGAUAUCAGGAGGAACACCGGCGGCGAAGGCGGCCUGCUGGACCGUGACUGACGUUGAGGCUCGAGAGCGUGGGGCGCAAACAGUAUUAGAUACCCGAGUAC
rnacentral:rRNA from 1 species